rnacentral:rRNA from 1 species
UWAACGACUCUCGGCAACGGAUAUCUCGGCUCACGCAUCGAUGAAGAACGUAGCAAAAUGCGAUACUUGGUGUGAAUUGCAGAAUCCCGUGAACCAUCGAGUUUUUGAACGCAAGUUGCGCCCGAAGCCAUUCGGCCGAGGGCACGUCUGCCUGGGCGUCACGC